rnacentral:rRNA from 1 species
AAGCGGAGGAACAUGUGGUUUAAUUCGAUGAUACGCGAGGAACCUUACCUUGGGGCUAGAACGCAUUCGGAAUCAGGCCGAAAGGCCUGCGCCAGCGAUGGCCGCUUGCGAGGUGCUGCAUGGUUGUCGUCAGCUCGUGCCGUGAGGUGUCGGGUUAAGUCCCAUAACGAGCGCAACCCCUACUGCUAGUUGCCAGCGGGUCAUGCCGGGGACUCUAGCGGAACUGCCAGCGUAAGCUGCGAGGAAGGUGGGGAUGACGUCAAAUCAGCACGGCCCUUACGUCCAGGGCUACACACGUGUUACAAUGGCCGGUACAGAGGGCAGCCACCCCGCGAGGGGGCGCGAAUCCCGAAAGCCGGUCCCAGUUCGGAUCGGAGUCUGCAACCCGACUCCGUGAAGCUGGAUUCGCUAGUAAUCGCGCAUCAGCCACGGCGCGGUGAAUACGUUCCCGGGCCUU